UACGUAGGGUGCGAGCGUUACUCGGAAUUACUGGGCGUAAAGGGUGCGCAGGCGGCGUCGCAAGUCAGGCGUGAAAUCCCCGGGCUUAACCUGGGAAUGGCACUUGAAACUACGAUGCUGGAGUAUGGCAGAGGGAGGUGGAAUUCCACGUGUAGCGGUGAAAUGCGUAGAGAUGUGGAGGAACACCGAUGGCGAAGGCAGCCUCCUGGGCCAAUACUGACGCUCAUGCACGAAAGCGUGGGGAGCAAACAGG
rnacentral:rRNA from 1 species